rnacentral:rRNA from 1 species
GCCAUGGGCAGGUUGACGGUUGGGUAACACUAACUGGAGGACCGAACCGACUAAUGUUGAAACAUUAGCGGCUGACUUGUGGCUGGGGGUGAAAGGCUAAUCAAACCGGGCGAUAGCUGGUUCUCCCCGAUAGCUAUUUAGGUAGCUCGUCGUGAAUUCAUCUCCGGCGGCAGAGCACUGUUUCGGCAAGGGGGUCAUCCCGUCUUACCAACCCGUUGCAACCUGCGCAUACCGGAGAAUGAUAUCACGGGAGACACACGGCGGAUGCUAACGCCCGUCGUGAAGAGGGAAACAACCCAGACCGCCAGCUACGGGCCCAAAGUCAUGGUUAAGUGGGAAACGAUGUGGGAAGGCCAAGACAGCCAGGAUGUUGGCUUAGAAGCAGCCAUCAUUUAAAGAAAGCGUAAUAGCUCACUGGUCGAGUAGGCCUGCGCGG